rnacentral:rRNA from 1 species
CGCGCAGGCGGCCUGGUCAGUCAGAUGUGAAAGCCCGGGGCUCAACCUCGGAAGUGCAUUUGAUACUGCUAGGCUUGAGUAUAGGAGAGGGAAGUGGAAUUCCUGGUGUAGAGGUGAAAUUCGUAGAUAUCAGGAGGAACACCGGUGGCGAAGGCGACUCCCUGGACCAAUACUGACGCUGAGGCGCGAAGGCGUGGGGAGCAAACA